rnacentral:rRNA from 1 species
CUACGGGCGGCUCCAGUGGGGAAUAUUGCACAAUGGGCGCAAGCCUGAUGCAGCCAUGCCGCGUGUAUGAAGAAGGCCUUCGGGUUGUAAAGUACUUUCAGCGGGGAGGAAGGGAGUAAAGUUAAUACCUUUGCUCAUUGACGUUACCCGCAGAAGAAGCACCGGCAAACUCCGUGCCAGCAGCCGCGGUAAUACGGAGGGUGCAAGCGUUAAUCGGAAUUACUGGGCGUAAAGCGCGCGCAGGCGGUUUGUUAAGUCAGAUGUGAAAUCCCCGGGCUCAACCUGGGAACUGCAUCUGAUACUGGCAAGCUUGAGUCUCGUAGAGGGGGGUAGAAUUCCAGGUGUAGCGGUGAAAUGCGUAGAGAUCUGGAGGAAUACCGGUGGCGAAGGCGGCCCCCUGGACGAAGACUGACGCUCAGGUGCGAAAGCGUGGGGAGCAAACAGGAUUAGAUACCCCAGUAGUC